rnacentral:rRNA from 1 species
AGUGAACGCUGGCGGUAGGCCUAACACAUGCAAGUCGAACGGCAGCACAGUAAGAGCUUGCUCUUACGGGUGGCGAGUGGCGGACGGGUGAGGAAUACAUCGGAAUCUACUUUUUCGUGGGGGAUAACGUAGGGAAACUUACGCUAAUACCGCAUACGACCUACGGGUGAAAGCAGGGGAUCUUCGGACCUUGCGCGAUUGAAUGAGCCGAUGUCGGAUUAGCUAGUUGGCGGGGUAAGGCCCACCAAGGCGACGAUCCGUAGCUGGUCUGAGAGGAUGAUCAGCCACACUGGAACUGAGACACGGUCCAGACUCCUACGGGAGGCAGCAGUGGGGAAUAUUGGACAAUGGGCGCAAGCCUGAUCCAGCCAUACCGCGUGGGUGAAGAAGGCCUUCGGGUUGUAAAGCCCUUUUGUUGGGAAAGAAAAGCAGCAGGUUAAUACCCCGCUGUUCUGACGGUACCCAAAGAAUAGGCACCGGCUAACUUCGUG